CUUGAUCUGAAAUCAGCGGGGAUUACCCGCUGAACUUAAGCAUAUCAAUAAGCGGAGGA
rnacentral:rRNA from 1 species